GACGAACGCUGGCGGCGUGCUUAACACAUGCAAGUCGAACGGAAAGGCCCUGCUUGCAGGGUACUCGAGUGGCGAACGGGUGAGUAACACGUGGGUGAUCUGCCCUGCACUUCGGGAUAAGCUUGGGAAACUGGGUCUAAUACCGGAUAGGAGCCAUCUUUAGUGUGGUGGUUGGAAAGUUUUUUCGGUGUAGGAUGAGCUCGCGGCCUAUCAGCUUGUUGGUGGGGUAAUGGCCUACCAAGGCGGCGACGGGUAGCCGGCCUGAGAGGGUGUACGGCCACAUUGGGACUGAGAUACGGCCCAGACUCCUACGGGAGGCAGCAGUGGGGAAUAUUGCACAAUGGGCGCAAGCCUGAUGCAGCGACGCCGCGUGGGGGAUGAAGGCCUUCGGGUUAUAAACUCUUUUCGCUAGGGACGAAGCUUUUUUGUGACGGUACCUAGAUAAGAAGCACCGGCUAACUACGUG
rnacentral:rRNA from 1 species